GUGCGGUCCUAGCAUCCAAACACACACGGGCCAAAACAACCCAACAGUGACAACCAGAAAAUGGUGUCAUUGUUGGGGGAGAGUGUGUCGAUGCUAGAGAAGCACGCAGGUGAAACCACCGCUAUCUGUAAACAUCCAAUCCAACAGUGUGUUGAAAAACACGAUGUGGUUCGGUGCCAAAGAUAGGGUGCAUAUUACCCUGC
rnacentral:ribozyme from 1 species